UUUCCGUAGGUGAACCUGCGGAAGGAUCAUUAAAAAAUAUCACAUUUGUUUGUGAUUUAAUAAUCAUCCUACCCUUUGUGAAUUUGUUUUUGUUUGAAAUUUAUGUUGUCUAUCCCUGGAUUAUGAAAGAAAAGUUGUAAAAGACUUUUUUUCAUUCUAGGGAAUAGGCUUUCAUAGACAUUUUUUUAAAUUAAACUUUUUGUAUUCAUUUGUCUAAAAUUUAUUUUUAAAUAAUUUAAAAACAACUUUUGACAAUGGGUCUCUUGGUUCUCGCAACGAUGAAGAACGCAGCAAAAUGCGAUAAGUAAUGUGAAUUGCAGAAUACGUGAAUCAUCAAAUUUUCGAACGCAUAUUGCACUUUUUAGUUUACUAAAAAAGUAUGUCUGUUUGAGUAUCAGUAAAAUAUUCUCAUAAAAACUAUUGUUUUUAUGGUUAUGAGUGUUUUACAACGAUACAAGUUGUUUCACUUUAAAUUGAUUUUUUUAAUAAGCCAAUUUGGUUUUAUUUUUAAAAUUGGAUAAAAUUUUCCCGUAAAAAGGAAUAAACUUUUCAGUUUUAAAGUUAAAACUUAAAUUGACCUACAAAAAAGGAAAUUUAAUUAUAAAACUAACUUGAUCUCAAAUCAGAUAAGAGUACCCGCUGAACUUAAGCAUAUCAAUAAGCGGAGGAAAAGAAACUAACAAGGAUUCCCUUAGUAACGGCGAGUGAAGCGGGAAGAGCUCAAAUUUGAAAUCUUCAAGGUUCUACCUUGACGAAUUGUAGUUUAAAGAAGUGUUUUCUGUUAGUGGAGUGGCAAAAGUUCUUUGGAAUAGGACAUCAUAGAGGGUGAGAAUCUCGUAUUUGGUCAUUCCUUCUAGCUUUGUGAUACACUUUCAAAGAGUCGGAUUGUUUGGGAAUGCAGUCCAAAAUGGGUGGUAAAUUUCAUCUAAAGCUAAAUAUUGGCGAGAGACCGAUAGCGAACAAGUACCGUGAGGGAAAGAUGAAAAGAACUUUGAAAAGAGAGUUAAACAGUACGUGAAAUUGUCAAAAAGGGAAGCGUUUGACACCAGUGUUGUUUUUCCGAAAAUCAAUUAUAAAUGUUUUGUUUCUGAGGAGUGAUGACUUCAUCGGCUUCCUUCUCUCUUCACGAAACUUUUGUAAUGCACUUUUCGGUUAACAAGUCAACAUCAAUUUCUUUUGUUGUAAAAGAGUAUUCGGAAGGUGGCUUCCUUUUCGGAGAAAGUGUUUAUAGCCCUAUACUUCUACAAUCGGAGAGAUUGAGGUCUGCAGCGUAGAUCCUUCGGGGUUAGAUACACUUGUGCUAAGUUAUAGCUUUUCAUAGACAACUUGUUGACUAUGUUUAGUCUUGUAGCUUACUCGCUUGUGCUAUUU
rnacentral:misc_RNA from 1 species